CCUACGGGAGGCAGCAGUGAGGAAUAUUGGUCAAUGGACGAGAGUCUGAACCAGCCAAGUAGCGUGAAGGAUGACUGCCCUAUGGGUUGUAAACUUCUUUUAUAUGGGAAUAAAAUGUUCCACGUGUGGGAUUUUGUAUGUACCAUAUGAAUAAGGAUCGGCUAACUCCGUGCCAGCAGCCGCGGUAAUACGGAGGAUCCGAUCGUUAUCCGGAUUUAUUGGGUUUAAAGUGAGCGUAGGUGGAUUGUUAAGUCAGUUGUGAAAGUUUGCGGCUCAACCGUAGAAUUGCAGUUGAAACUGGCAGGCUUGAGUACAGUAGAGGUGGGCGGAAAUCGUGGUGUAGCGGUGAAAUGCUUAGAUAUCACGAAGAACUCCGGUUGCGAAGGCAGCUCACUGGACUGCAACUGACACUGAGGCUCGAAAGUGUGGGUAUCAAACAGGAUUAGAUACCCUAGUAGUC
rnacentral:rRNA from 1 species